GCAGUAGAACGCUGAAGACUUUAGCUUGCUAAAGUUGGAAGAGUUGCGAACGGGUGAGUAACGCGUAGGUAACCUGCCUACUAGCGGGGGAUAACUAUUGGAAACGAUAGCUAAUACCGCAUAACAGCAUUUAACCCAUGUUAGAUGCUUGAAAGGAGCAAUUGCUUCACUAGUAGAUGGACCUGCGUUGUAUUAGCUAGUUGGUGAGGUAACGGCUCACCAAGGCGACGAUACAUAGCCGACCUGAGAGGGUGAUCGGCCACACUGGGACUGAGACACGGCCCAGACUCCUACGGGAGGCAGCAGUAGGGAAUCUUCGGCAAUGGGGGCAACCCUGACCGAGCAACGCCGCGUGAGUGAAGAAGGUUUUCGGAUCGUAAAGCUCUGUUGUAAGAGAAGAACGUGUGUGAGAGUG
rnacentral:rRNA from 1 species